GCCAGGCAUGGUGGUGCAUGCCUAUAGUCCCAGCUCCUUGGAAGGCUGGUGUGGGAGGAUUGCUUGAGGCCAGCAGUUCAAGGUUGCAGUGUGCUAUGCUUGUGCCUACGAAUAGCCACUGCACUCCAGCCUGGACAACAUAGCAAGACCCUGUCUCAA
ensembl:misc_RNA Metazoa_SRP Metazoan signal recognition particle RNA